rnacentral:rRNA from 1 species
UCCUACGGGAGGCAGCAAGUAGGGAAAUCUUCCGCAAAUGGGCGAAAAAGCCUGACGGAAGCGAAACGCCGCGUGAAGUGAUGAAAAGGUCUUCGGAUCCAGACUCCUACGGGAGGCAGCAAGUAGGGAAAUCUUCCGCAAAUGGGCGAAAAAGCCUGACGGAAGCGAAACGCCGCGUGAAGUGAUGAAAAGGUCUUCGGAUC